rnacentral:rRNA from 1 species
GUGCCAGCAGCCGCGGUAAGACAGAGGGGGCAAGCGUUGCUCGGAAUUACUGGGCGUAAAGGGCGCGUAGGCGGGAUGGCAAGUCGGUCGUGAAAUCCCUCGGCUCAACUGAGGAGCGUCGAUCGAAACUGCCGUUCUUGAGGGUUGCAGAGGAGACUGGAAUUCCCGGUGUAGCGGUGAAAUGUGUAGAGAUCGGGAGGAACACCGGUGGCGAAGGCGGGUCUCUGGGCAACUCCUGACGCUGAGGCGCGAAAGCGUGGGGAGCAAACGGGAUUAGAAACCCUUGUAGUCC